UUCCCAGUCUGGACAGCGAGGGGCCGGGAUUUUCUGGGCUUUUCCUGGGGGUGGGGGACAUUCCAAGAGUCUUUGCUUGUCAUUGGUCGUUCUCUGCGCGUCCCUGAUGGUGGGAGAGGGACCAGCCCUUGGGUGGGGAACAGGAGGAGCCCUCAUGAUGUCCUGCGGGUUCCUGGGCUGCUGUCAUUGCAUUCCCAGCCCUGUCUCUACAUUCCAGAGCCAAUGACGUCUUCUGGGUGAGCGUUUGUCUCCUGAGCUGGGCCAGAUCCACCUUCCUGAGCAGUCUCAGCUUGGCUGGGGCAGGGGAGUGAAAGGGGCCUUUGCUCCUCAGGGUUAGGGGUGAGCUCACCCACUGCAACCUUCUCCUUCCCAGCCAUUCUAACCUCUGGGGUCUUCAACACACCCCUCCCUCCCCAAACAGGCCCCAAACAUUCCUAUCCCCCGUGGAGCCCCUUUUGUCCUGAUACCCACCACCUGUCCACCUUUCCCCUGGGAUUUCCUUCCCCAAUGGUCCAGCCCUCUGCCUCCCCCUGCCCCUGGCGCUUUGAGCUCCCCCCCCCCCACCAAGCUUCCCCACCCUCACAUCCCAGGAUUCCCGCCUGACUCCAGGGUAAAAGCACAUUGUAGGCUGACUCAGGCUUCCAGAAGAGUCCCUGAGUUUCUCAAUGUUCAAAGGGAGGCAGACUGAGGGGAAGCGCAGGGACUCUCUUCCCUGGGGACCCCCUACACACACACACACACACACACACACACACACACACGACCUCACUUUGCCCAGGAGAGACACAGCUGGUGCAAUCUCAAGGGCCAGGAUUUCUGCCCAUGUCAUUAUGUCCCCGUGCCCAUGAGGAGACAGAAAGCACUGGGAAAAUAUUGUUAGAUGGAGCCAGAAGCUCAGACAGACCCUCUGCACGGAUCACGGUCAAGUGUGCACUUAAACACGGUAAAGAUGGUAAGUGCUGUGUUGUGUGUGUUUUACCACAAUUAGAAAACAAUUUUAAAAAGAAACAGAGCAGGGAUUGAACUCAGGCCAUUUGGUCCAAGAGUCUGCACUCUUAUCUCUGUCCUAGACUACAUACCUAGGAGCAGCUCGAUAGAUAUUUGUUGAAGGAAUGAAUGGGGAAUGGAUAACUUCAGAGGCUUGCACACAUGUCAGUUUCCCUUUGGUGUUUCCAUGUAACCCACAGCCCUGGACACAUGCGGUCCCCAUGUGUGUCUUCACCGUGGUGGUCUGUGAUCGCCAAUCUCCCUGCCCUUGCUGCUGUCUCCUUCUUGCCCUGGUUUCCCAGCCCUCCUUUGAGCAGCUUUGGGGCAGUGCUACCCAGCCUGUAUGGGGAGGGGAGGCAGCCAGGCGCCAGGGACGGCCAUGAAGACGGCCAGCUGGGGUUCUCACGAUUUCUCCUUCCUCCUCAGGUGUUGCUUUUUUCCGGUACACUUGACCUUUAACGUGACCAUGACCAGAGGCAGUGUCUGAGAGAUGGCUCGGCCCUCUUCAGCGCCAACUUCCUUCCUAGAUCACCUAGGCUGGGUGGGAUUCCAUUUAGACCAUUUGCCUGUGUUUUGUGGCAUCUCCACUAUAAGUCAGGGAUCCAAGGCUCUGGUUCUCUGAGCCUCACCUGGCUGUAGGAGUCGGUUUCUGGAUAAUAGAAACACCGCCACCAUCCUCCCCGCUGCUCAGGAGAAAUUCCUUUCUUUUUCUCGCCGUUGGGCCCCGAUGGAGAAUCACAUGGUGUGGGCACCCGCGCCCCUCAACUGCACAGCCACCACCCUGGUCUCAGUCGCCACAGCCCAGCAUCUGGACACCCGGAGCAGCUACGGCACGGGCUAUGCCUUCCACCCUCCCUCUAGGCAACAGCCAGAGCAGCCGAAAUGCCCCUCAGGUUGCGUCUCUCCCUGCAGAGAACUCCUUACAGCUUUCAGUGAGAUUUAAGAACGGAGUGGACACGGACUCUUGCUGGAGUUGGACCCUCUCUGAGGGCGGCCGAUUGGAAAGGAGCUUGCCCAGAAGGGACAGAGCUGGGCAUGAUCACUUCCUUCUCCAAACUCUACCAAUUCAGGCAGCCCAUUCUCCUCCCCGGGGAAGAAGUGGGAUGGGGAGCAGGAAGUCAAUAGGGGGCACCCCACACCCUCAAAGGAAACUUCGGGGGUGGGGAAGCAAUUCCUCCCUGAUAUUUAGAGAGUGUCCAGCACUCAGUAAAUAGGAUAAUCACAGCUCCUAUUUCCAGCUUCUCAGGGGUGCUUUAGGGCACCCAUCUGGGUGGGUGAUAUCGUUCCUCUAAGCCUUCCUAUGUGAACAUGAACAGCCCUGGGGUUCUGAUCCGAGUGGGAGUGAGACGGGUUCCCUAGUACUUGCUCUUUCUUUUUGGCCUCUGCUGUGAUCUGAAUGUCUGUGUCCCCCCCCUAAACUUGUGUGUCACAUCCUAACGCCCGGUUUGUAAUGGUGUUGGGAGGUGGGGCCUUAGGGAGGUGAUUAGAGCCCUUUGAAUGGGACUAGUGUUCUCAUAAAAGAGCCCCCAGGGAGCUCCCUUGGCCCUUUCUGUCAUCAAGAAGGGGGUUAUGAACUAGGAAGAGAGCUCUCACCGGACACCAAAUCUGGCGGAGCCUUGACCUUGGCCUUCCCAGCCUCCAGAACUAUGAGACAUGAGUUUCUGUGGUGUAUCAGCCUUUUAG